rnacentral:rRNA from 1 species
GACGAACCGUACGAACGUUAUUCGGAAUUACUGGGCUUAAAGGGUGCGUAGGCUGUGCAGAAAGUUGGGUGUGAAAUCCCUUAGCUUAACUGAGGAACUGCGCCCAAAACUACUGCGCUAGAGGAAGACAGGGGUAAGCGGAACUUACGGUGGAGCGGUGAAAUGUGUUGAUAUCGUAAGGAACACCGGUGGCGAAGGCGGCUUACUGGGUCUUUUCUGACGCUGAGGCACGAAAGCUAGGGGAGCAAACGGG